rnacentral:misc_RNA from 1 species
GCAAACUUGGUCAUUUAGAGGAAGUAAAAGUUGUAACAAGGUUUCCGUAGGUGAACCUGCGGAAGGAUCAUUAACAAAUCCAUAUGCGUGUUAGUGUGGGGUAACCUGCAUUUUUCACGAAUAUUAAACCGCCAGCUCAUUACGGGUUGGUUGGAAAUAAAUGUGUGUAUUGUUGACAGUGUGUGAGUGACUUAAAUUAUUGACAACUUUUAACAAUGGAUCUCUAGGCUCUUGCAUCGAUGAAGAACGCAGC